GAUGAACGCUGGCGGCGUGCUUAACACAUGCAAGUCGAGCGGUAAGGCCCUUCGGGUACGACGAGCGGCGAACGGUGAGUAACACGUGGGUGACCUGCCUCUAGCUCUGGGAUAAGCCUGGGAAACUGGGUCUAAUACCGGAUAUGACUCCACGGCGCAUGUUGUGGGGUGGAAAGCCUUGUGUGGCUAGAGAUGGGCCCGCGGCCUAUCAGCUUGUUGGUGGGGGAUGGCCUACCAAGGCGACGACGGUAGCCGGCCUGAGAGGGCGACCGGCCACACUGGGACU
rnacentral:rRNA from 1 species